CAGACAGGCAGUCACUGAGCACCUCAUCAGUGGGGGUGUGUGUGACAAACUGCUGUCCUAUAAACAUGGCCAUUUCUCCAAAGACAAAAUGACAUCCUCCUGCAGACACUUGCUGGAUUCUCACUACGACAAGUUCCAUGCAGCUUUGGUGAAUAAGGAACCAAAGCAUUUCGGUGUAGUCUUGUGCUAUGAGCAGUCCACAGCAUGUGUCGGGGUGAAACGCCAGUCUUUUGAGGGAUCCAAAACCAC